AGGGUUCGAUCCUGGCUCAGAACGAACGCUGGCGGCAGGCCUUAUACAUGCAAGUCGAGCGCAUCCUUCGGGAUGAGCGGCGGACGGGUGAGUAACGCGUGGGAAUGUGCCCUUCCCUACGGAAUAGCCACUGGAAACGGUGAGUAAUACCGUAUACGCCCUCAGGGGGAAAGAUUUAUCGGAGAAGGAUCAGCCCGCGUUAGAUUAGGUAGUUGGUGGGGUAACGGCCUACCAAGCCUACGAUCUAUAGCUGGUUUUAGAGGAUGAUCAGCCACACUGGGACUGAGACACGGCCCAGACUCCUACGGGAGGCAGCAGUAGGGAAUCUUGGACAAUGGGGGCAACCCUGAUCCAGCCAUGCCGCGUGAGUGAAGAAGGCCCUAGGGUCGUAAAGCUCUUUCGCCUGUGAUGAUAAUGACAGUAGCAGGUAAAGAAACCCCGGCUAACUCCGUGCCAGCCGCCGCGGUAAUAC
rnacentral:rRNA from 1 species